UUGUCGCCCAGGAACUUUGCUUUCUCCUGUAAGAGAAAAGAAAGGAGAAUGAUUGUUGUCUUUUUAUCCUGAUAUAGACAGUAAUUACAUCUUCCACAAAGAUCCCUUCCUUAUAUUACUUACUGACAAAAGGAAAACAUAAACCAGUAAAAGCACUUAUCCAAUGCUUCAGUACACAUGGUCUUCUGAGAAGUCAAAUGUGUUUUAUUUUCCUUGCCCAAAGGCAUAGGCAGAGAGAUAGAAGAAUUCUUUCUAAUCCCUGGCCAUAGUAUUUGCGUAUGAUUUGUGGGAUAAUUUUUCUACAUGUGUUUCCCCAACUAUCUUUUCAUUACUCAGUUUCCAGAUCCUAUGCACAGAAGGACAGCCAGCCAAGAACAGGUCUACCUCAUGAGAAAUUCCACAUUGCAGAACACUGUUUCUUGCCACUUCACACAUAUCGCAGGUAUAUCAAGAAGGGUGAAGUGUAUGGAGUAUGAUAACAAAUUGUGCAGUGAUUAGUGAAAAUUCCUAAACUUGCAAAGAAAGGAACUGUGAAAGUUGCUGAAGGCUCCAAAACAUCCAUUCCUGCUACUAAAUAAAGAAAGAAACCGAAGAAAAAGACAAGGGAAAGAAAUUUCUGAUUCGGGCCAAUUGAAAGCGUCCUAGCAGUGCAGUGCAGUGGCCCUUGACCACCCAAGGCGCCAAUGUCUGAGCAAAAGAGGUUUUACAUACGGGCUUCUGAAGACGGUAUCUCAACUGAAAGACCAUGUGACUCUAAUUUGAGAAUUCAAACCACUUUCUGGUCAGUGGGGGAAAUAUGUGGGGAUGAAUAAGGUGUCACACAUCCCUCAAACCCUAUCAUGCAUGCCCUGCCUUCUGUCGUUAUGGAUGGAUCAGAACAUCAUCUUAUGAUAAGUUAUCAUUCCUUUGGAUGGUUUUAAAGAGAACUUAAUCUGUGGCUAAAAAUGGAGACAUUCUAGAAUAAAAUUUUCUCAGAACUGCCGGAAAUUUCCUAAGCUGGUCUGUCUCCCAUGCCCCAUCACUGACUCCGGGCUGGGGACGGCAUGCCCAAAGAGUUAUAACUUGAAAUCACUGAAUGAUCGUCAUCAGAGCCCAAAGAUUUUCUGGGACCAAUGUAAGCUUGUUCCGAAUGUUUGAGGCCUGGAUGUUGAUCCUAACCAGUUGAACUCUUUUUAAAGUCUUGCUGACCUUGGCUGAGAGAUUCUGGCACAGGUGCUGGAACUAGAGGUCUGCUUCUAAUGGCAUGCUUGUUCUUUUGCCACCUAAUGGGCCACCGGUCUAUCUUCUCCAGGAUAAGAGCUGGAUCUUAUUCACCGUGGUGUCCUCAGCAUUUGUCACACAAUGCGUAGCACACGCAUAUUACAUUUGAGAUAAUGGAGCACCUGAGUGGAAAUGUCUGGACGACAGGACGUCUUCAUUUACAUGCGGAGUAGACACAAGAAUACAAACAAGUGGUAAAAAGAUGAAGCAGAGUGAACACUGAACUAGGAGUGAGGAAAAGUGUCUGUGACAGCUGGGUGGCCUUGGGGAAACCACAUAAUCACAAGGAGCCUCAGUGUUCAUCAUCAUAACAAGAGAAUGCUAAUAAUAAUAAUGUCAACUUCAGAGCAUUGCCAUAAAGGUUAAACAAGAAAUCCUUUAAAAAUGACACAGUGCUAUAUAGAAGUUGGGGAUUAUUACUAUUAACAUGGGAAGUGCAAGGCUCUUGAGAAGAGGAAUGUCAUGCUGGCUUCUUCACUCAACGCUGAGAUCCAGAAGAGCAUGCUUAUUUCCCAGCAGUGCUUUAUUGAUGGGUAGAAAAGACAGGUCGUAGGUGUUUCAUCUGCCACGUCUCAUCUCCUCUAUGCCUCUCCGAGGCAGACCUACCUACUAUCAGUCAGCCUAAGGACAAGUCUAAUUUGAAACAUAACUUAAAGUUCCAGUUUUAUCUGGAGUGAGAUUUUAUUUGGCCCGGUCACAGAAAUUUACCAUGAAAUGUUUUGCUUUGGAGUUGAGGAUUUCCUAAGGCAAGACUCAAUAGGCCCCGCUGGCUAACCUAUAUCUAAAGAAUACUAUUUUAUUUUAAAACAUCAGAUGAACGCCCCUCUGAUGUUCUCUUUAAAAAAUGGAUUUGGUUGUUUUUUUUUUGGCGGGGGGGGGGGAGUCCAGAAAAUCCAUGAGUUCAUUUGCUAUGCUAUGGGAUAUCUAUGGUUAUUAUUAAUCUUUGUUGGCUUUCAAUGGUAUCAUUUAAUAAACACUGCUGGAAAAUACUCAUGUUUCUGAAUUAAUGAAUAGUACUAUUUUUUCAUUGAUACUUUGGCAAAUGGCAGGAAAAAUUGUCCAAAAUACUCACGUUUUUCUUUAGCUGUUUG